GUCUAUGACCACACCACCCUGAACAUAUCUAAUCUUCUCUGAUCUCAGAAGCUAAGUAGGCCUGGUUAGUAUUUAGAAAGAAGAAAUCUGCUGAUAAUCUUACAGGAA
rnacentral:rRNA from 1 species